GGUCCUCUUAAUAACCAGACCUCUGAAGGAAAAUCUGCCCAAGAAGAAAGGGGCUUCCUUUACUUCAGGACAACCUUGAUAGUAGCUGCGCCACCUGAGGGAUAUGCUUCCAUUUCUUCUGGGAGUUAAGAGGUUGGUGUGAAUUCCCUGAGAAAACUAUCCACUGUAGAUGCAUCUUCCCCCUAAACCACUGAAGGUGAAUCAGUUUUGCUGUUUUCUCUGUGGGGGUCUAAAAGAAAAUCUAACAUCUGAUAACACUUCUCUUCCAUCUUCAGGUAUCUGCACAGCUUCACAGAAGAUUAUCUGGCUCUGGAGAAGAGGCUAA
rnacentral:lncRNA from 13 species